UACCAUGCAGUCGAGCGGUAACAUUUCUAGCUUGGUAGAAGAUGACGAGCGGGGGACGGGUGAGUAAUGCUUGGGAACAUGCCUUGAGGUGGGGGAGACAGUUGGAAACGACUGCGAAUACCGCAUAAUGUCUACGGAGCAAAGGGGGGUUCGGCUCUCGCCUUUAGAUUGGCCCAAGUGGGAUUAGCUAUUUGGUGAGGUAAUGGCUCACCAAGGCGACGAUCCCUAUCUGGUUUGAGAGGAUGAUCACCCACACUGGAACUGAGACACGGUCCACACUCCUACGGGAGGCAGCAGUGGGGAAUAUUGCGCAAUGGGCGCAAGCCUGAUGCACCCAUGCCGCGUGUGUGAAGAAAGCCUUCUGGUUGUAAAGCACUUUCACUCACGAGGAAAGGUUAUAGGUUAAUACCCGCUAGCUGUGACGUUACUGACAGAAAAAACACCGGCUAACUCCGUGCCACCACCCGCGGUAAUACGGAGGGUGCGAGCGUUAAUCUGAAUUACUGGGCGUAAAGCGUACACACGCGGUUUGUUAAGCGAGAUGUGAAAGCCCCGGGCUCAACCUGGGAACUGCAUUUCUAACUGUCAAACUAUAGUGUGAUAUAGGGUGGUAGAAUUUCACGUGUAUCGGUGAAAUGCGUAUAGAUCUGAAAGAAUACCGAUGGCGAAAGCGGCCACCUGGGUCAACACUGACACUCAUGUACGAAAGCGUGUGGAGCAAACACGAUUAUAUACACUGGUAGUCCACGCCGUAAACAAUGUCUACUAUAAGCUCGCAACCUCCUCCGUGCCAGCAGCGGCGGUAUUACGGAGGGUGCGAGCGUUUAAUCGGAAUUACUGGGCGUAAAGCGUACGCAGGCGGUUUGUUAAGCGAGAUGUGAAAGCCCCGGGCUCAACCUGGAAAUGCAUUUCGAACUGGCAAACUAGAGUGUGAUAGAGGGUGGUAGAAUUUCAGGUGUAGCGGUGAAAUGCGUAGAGAUCUGAAGGAAUACCGAUGGCGAAGGCAGCCACCUGGGUCAACACUGACGCUCAUGUACGAAAGCGUGGGGAGCAAACAGGAUUAGAUACCCUGGUAGUCCACGCCGUAAACGAUGUCUACUAGAAGCUCGGAACCUCGGUUCUGUUUUUCAAAGCUAACGCAUUAAGUAGACCGCCUGGGGAGUACGGCCGCAAGGUUAAAACUCAAAUGAAUUGACGGGGGCCCGCACAAGCGGUGGAGCAUGUGGUUUAAUUCGAUGCAACGCGAAGAACCUUACCUACACUUGACAUACAGAGAACUUACCAGAGAUGGUUUGGUGCCUUCGGGAACUCUGAUACAGGUGCUGCAUGGCUGUCGUCAGCUCGUGUUGUGAGAUGUUGGGUUAAGUCCCGCAACGAGCGCAACCCCUAUCCUUAGUUGCUAGCAGGUAAUGCUGAGAACUCUAAGGAGACUGCCGGUGAUAAACCGGAGG
rnacentral:rRNA from 1 species